CUCAGAGGCACUACAUUCAGAGUUUGAGGUAGCACAGAGCACAUCUGUGCAGGGGGAACACAAGCCACAUGCCGCUCUGCAGCCUGCUGUGGGUGUUCAUGGCCUUCAGCUACCCUGGAUCCAGUGUGGCUCAGAAAGUUACUCAAGCCCCUCCAGCAAUAUCCAUGACAGAAGGGGAGACAGUCACCAUGAACUGCUGGUUUGAAACAACAUGGACUACGUACUACAUUUACUGGUACAAGCAACUUCCCAGCAGAGAGAUCAUUUUCCUUCUUAGCCAGGGUUCUGCUGGUCAACAUGCAAAGAAAGGCCGCUAUUCCGUCAAUUUAGAGAAAGAAGCGAAAUCUAUCAACUUCACCAUUUCAGUUCUACAGCUGGAAGAUUCCUCAAAGUAUUUCUGUACUUUCACAGAACUCACGGUGUUUGAAGUGAUUGCAAAGGCAAAGCAAAAAGCCCAGGGCUCAGGUAAAGAGAGCACCCCUUGUGCUAGAGCCAGGCUGAAAUGCACACCUGCAGAUCCCAAGCAGGAAAUGGCAGUGACUGUGGUCUCUGGGCAUACUCUGUGGUCUGGAUCAGAAGAUUUAAUUUUAAGUAACUCUUUCUAUUUCACUUGGCAAUAGUUAUUCAGAGCAACUUUCUCCUCAUACUUAAAUUUUUGACUUAAAAUAGGCCAUACAAAAACUGUGUGAAGUUGUCUAAAGUUGAAAAAACUUGCCCCUCAACCAUUUAAAGUGGCA